rnacentral:rRNA from 1 species
UACGUAGGGUGCAAGCGUUGUCCGGAAUUAUUUGGGCGUAAAGAGCUCGUAGGCGGUCUGUCGCGUCUGCUGUGAAAGCCCGGGGCUUAACUCCGGGUCUGCAUUCGAUACGGGCAGACUAGAGUGUGGUAGGGGAGAUCGGAAUUCCUGGUGUAGCGGUGAAAUGCGUAGAUAUCUGGAGGAAUACCGGUGGCGAAGGCGGCAUCCUGGACCGGCAUUGACGCUGAGGAGCGAAAGCCAGGGGAGCAAAGCGGG